UGUGUUUUUGAAGAGGAAAACGUCCUCUUUCCGAUAGCGUUGGUCCCGUCUUCGCGCGACUUUCCGUUCCCUUGCUACAUUCCGAGGAGCGCCUGGGCGCUGGGGCAUGGCCUGGCGGGCAGGUGGCCUUCCUGCCGUUUCUGCGCUGCGGGCGGUGUCCAUUUCGCUUGCAAGCUUCGUUGCGUUCGCGCGCCUUUUUCUGGCUCCCGUUGUCUCGCGUUCCGUCGUUGCUCUGGUGCCCUGGACUGCUGUGAAUGUGUUUUUAUGCCCUACUAGUGUUGCCUGGGGGUGCUUUUAUGUGUGCACCCUGGAAGAUAGGUCCAGAAGCCUUGCGAUUUCUUAGAUUAAAGCUAAGUGUACUCGUGACCCUACCAGCACUUUUCAAGAUACUUUCGACGUAUUCAUUGCGGUGAACAACGCGGUUGGGACAGCACACUCACGACGUGGGAAGGUCACAGAAAUGUUGAAAGACAUCAGAUUGGGCAUACGCUUCACCCGUGCAACUUCGUCAUGUGCUCCACGGCAGCACAAGCCUUUACGGCUGUGCCACUAUGUGUGGAAACGUCGUAGGGGAUGAAUGUGAAUUAUGGAUCUCCAAGUGGCGUCGCCCGCGUCAUUUUCAAGAUUUUUCCCGUUUUGAAGGCAAUAGGGCUGUUGAUAGGGAGAAUGCUAGGCUAC